rnacentral:rRNA from 1 species
UACAGAGGGUGCGAGCGUUAAUCGGAAUUACUGGGCGUAAAGCGUGCGUAGACGGUUAUUUAAGUCGGAUGUGAAAGCCCCGGGCUCAACCUGGGAAUUGCAUUCGAGACUGAAUAGCUAGGGUGCGGUAGAGGGAAGCGGAAUUUCCGGUGUAGCGGUGAAAUGCGUAGAUAUCGGGAGGAACACCAGUGGCGAAGGCGACUUCCUGGCCUGUUCUUGACGCUGAGGCGCGAAAGCUAGGGUAGCAAACGGG